UGCAUGGUGCGAAGUAUGGAAAGGUCUCUUGUGGAUUGGUUGUGCCAGAGACAAAUGUACAUUAUUUCUAUGUUGGGUCAGAAGUUUCGGUACACUUUGGGUGAGUGGCAGUUGGGAAGAUGGAUGACCUUCAGAUAGUUUGAGAUAAAGAAGUUUUUUUAAAUGAUUGAAAGUGAUCAUCACAGAAUCAACUCCAUUAUGAAGAUAAAUUACGAGCAAGUCAGCACUCCUUUUGUCCAACACCCGAGAGAUCUGAGUAUCCAUCCUACUGUUGAAUUAACUGGUGACCAAGAAAAGAUGACAGAGAGGGGAAUCAAAUAUGGAUGCCAUCGUGAUCAAGAAUAUACACACUGACUAGAAAAUAUCUGAAAAUUUAUAGACGAACAUUCAAGCAUUUAUAAUAAUGAAAGUUAUUCAGCAAGAGAGUUUUUGCACAAGUUUAAUUUCAGUAAAAUUGUGUAUAUUGUGCACAGAGGAACUUAGUAUGUAACUCAUUAUGAUUAUCCAUUUCUUUAGAGGAUGUAUUCGGAGUAUAUUUAAAUAAUCAUUAUCUUGUAGAAAAGAGCACGCAAAACUUUUCUCUCUGUGUGAAGCAAGACACAUAUGCAUACACUCCAGCAUUAACCACAACCAAUGUUACAUAUUUUCCAGGGCAUGUGAAGUCGAGCACACACAACAUCUACCACAACACCAGUUACAUAUUUUCCAAGGCGUGUGAAGUCGAGCACAUACAUGAAAAUGUGUGAAGCUGGACACAUAUGCAAACACACAAGCAACCACCACAACCAAUUACAUAUUUUCCAAGGCGUGUGAAGAUGGACACAAUGCAAACACAAUCUCCUACCACAGACACAAUGCACAUAUAACAUUUAAUCCAAAGUAUAAAGUCAAGCUCAAACCGGCUCACUGCGUGAAGCUGGACACAUGCAUUUACUUAUGCAUCUUGCAAAACUACCUCUGAAGCUAUAUUCUAAUAGAUGUUUAAGCAAUUUUGUUUCUUUAUUUUGUGAAUAUGUAAAUUACACCAUUAUGCUUACAAGAUGUCAACAUUAUUAACCUGUACAUAAAUACUCAUUAGAUAGCCUUUAAUAGUUUAAAUUGGAAAUACUAGUACUUUGCCAUAUUUAUGUUGCGUAGUUUCUCAUCAGUGAUCUUGAGUAAUAACUGAGUAAGGCAUUUUUAGUUCCAUUUAAACUGCGAAGUUUUGACACAUGUACAUGCACCAUAAAGGAUGAAUAAUAUUGUAUUGUAUUUUAACCUUUUUUAUUUUAUUCUUUGUCAUUUUAUUGCCUGUUCUAGUAAAAGAUGUAAUCUUGUAA